UUCCUUCCAAAGCUAGUUUCUAGUGUCUGGAGUAUUAUUGUGUUACAAUGAGAGAUGGUCUACAGGGUUUUUUACAUAGAUUUACCUGAAGUGGGGGAGAGAAGCUUCAGCUUUUGGUUGGUUGGUGGGUUUUUGUUGUUGUUGUUGUUAUUGUUGUUGUGUUUUGUUUGAAAGAGAUGAAACUUAAUAGACGAAAUUGAUUUUUGUGGCCUUUUUUGCCACUUCAGGUACAUUUGCAAUGCUAAUCCUAUUGUGAGUAAUUUUGCAAGGUGUAUGAUACUGAGGUGUGGUUAAAUGGUUUCAUUGUGAUAAAAAAGUUAUGAGUCUAUUAAACUAAAAAGUACAUUUAAACCACUUCUUUGCAGAUCCCCCAGUUUAUUCUUGAUGACUGUCACAAAAAUGGAACUCCCUGCCGUAUAUUUUGCACUCAGCCAAGACGUUUGGCAGCACUUGCUGUGGCUGAAAGAGUGGCAGCAGAAAGAGGAGAAAAGAUUGGCCAGACAGUUGGUUAUCAGAUCCGAUUAGAAAGCAGGGUUUCUCCAAAGACACUGGUAACCUUUUGCACUAAUGGUGUACUGCUUCGCACGUUGAUGGCCGGAGACAGCACCCUAUCAACCGUGACACAUGUUAUUGUGGAUGAAGUACAUGAGAGGGAUCGGUUCAGUGACUUCUUGCUAAUAAAACUGAGAGAUGUGUUGCAAAGCCAAGCUAAUGUAAAACUAAUUCUUUCUAGUGCUGCUCUAGAUGCAGACCUCUUUAUUAGGUAUUUUGGAUGUUGCCCAGUAAUACACAGUAAGUACAUGAGUAAGCUCUUAAAUCUUAGUAUACCUGCCCUGAGACUCCUUGAUCUUAACUGAGCUGUACCAAACCAUUCUGA